rnacentral:rRNA from 1 species
AGUGAACGCUGGCGGUAGGCCUAACACAUGCAAGUCGAACGGCAGCAUAGUAAGAGCUUGCUCUUACGGGUGGCGAGUGGCGGACGGGUGAGGAAUACAUAGGAAUCUACUUUUUCGUGGGGGAUAACGUAGGGAAACUUACGCUAAUACCGCAUACGACCUACGGGUGAAAGCAGGGGAUCUUCGGACCUUGCGCGAUUGAAUGAGCCGAUGUCGGAUUAGCUAGUUGGCGGGGUAAAGGCCCACCAAGGCGACGAUCCGUAGCUGGUCUGAGAGGAUGAUCAGCCACACUGGAACUGAGACACGGUCCAGACUCCUACGGGAGGCAGCAGUGGGGAAUAUUGGGCAAUGGGCGCAAGCCUGAUCCAGCCAUACCGCGUGGGUGAAGAAGGCCUUCGGGUUGUAAAGCCCUUUUGUUGGGAAAGAAAAGCAGCAGGUUAAUACCCCGCUGUUCUGACGGUACCCAAAGAAUAAGCACCGGCUAACUUCGUG